UAGGGAAUCUUCCGCAAUGGACGAAAGUCUGACGGAGCAACGCCGCGUGAGUGAUGAAGGCCUUCGGGUCGUAAAACUCUGUUGUUAGGGAAGAACAAGUAUCGGAGUAACUGCCGGUACCUUGACGGUACCUAACAAGAAAGCCACGGCUAACUACGUGCCAGC
rnacentral:rRNA from 1 species